CUGCGAACGGCUCAUUAUAUAAGUUAUCGUUUAUUUGAUAGCACCUUGCUACUUGGGUAACCGUGGUAAUUCUAGAGCUAAUACAUGCUGAAAAUCCCGACUCCGGAAGGGAUGUGUUUAUUAGAUCCAAAGCCAACGCCCCCCGGGCUCACUGGUGAUUCAUGAUAACCGCUCGAAUCGCACGGCCUUGCGCCGGCGAUGGUUCAUUCAAAUUUCUUCCCUAUCAACUUUCGAUGUUUGGGUAGUGGCCAAACAUGGUUGCAACGGGUAACGGAGGGUUAGGGCUCGACCCCGGAGAAGGAGCCUGAGAGACGGCUACUACAUCCAAGGAAGGCAGCAGGCGCGCAAAUUACCCAAUCCCGACGCGGGGAGGUAGUGACAAUAAAUACCGAUAUAGGGCUCUUUCGGGUCUUAUAAUUGGAAUGAGUACAAUUUAAAUCCCUUAACGAGGAACAAUUGGAGGGCAAGUCUGGUGCCAGCAGCCGCGGUAAUUCCAGCUCCAAUAGCGUAUAUUAAAGUUGUUGUGGUUAAAAAGCCCGUAGUUGAACCUUGGGCCUGGCUGGCCGGUCCGCCUCACCGCGUGCACUGGUCCGGCCGGGCCUUUCCCCCCGCGGAACCCCAUGCCCUUCGCUGGGCGUGGCGGGGAAACGGGACGUUUACUUUGAAAAAAUUAGAGUGCUCUAGGCAGGCCUAUGCUCGAAUACAUUAGCAUGGAAUAAUGGAAUAGGACGCGCGGUUCUAUUUUGUUGGUUUCUAGGACCGCCGUAAUGAUUGAUAGGGACAGUCGGGGGCGUCAGUAUUCAACCGUCAGAGGUGAAAUUCUUGGACCGGUUGAAGACUAACUACUGCGAAAGCAUUCGCCAAGGAUGUUUUCAUUAAUCAGGGACGAAAGCUAGGGGAUCGAAGACGAUCAGAUACCGUCGUAGUCUUAGCCAUAAACUAUGCCGACUAGGGAUCGGGCGAUGUUAUCCUU
rnacentral:rRNA from 1 species